GGCAUGCCUAAUAUUGAAAAUUUUGGGGAGUUAUCCUUGCGAAAUAAAAAAUAAAAUUAGUCGGAAAUUUCUAUACCCCUUAAACCGAAGUCGGGUCAGACCCGAAAGUUCUUUCAGGCUCCAAAGAAAACGUACUUGCAAUCAAAAACCCGCGUAGGGCAAGUGGGAAUUCAAAAUUUCCCCUUUCCCGGCAAAGGUGUUAUAGUUGAGGACCAUCACCAUCAACCAGAGCUUCCAUGGAAGAAGACGGCGCAAAUCCACAGCAUACCAAACAAUCCAGAUCCUCCUUGGUUUCCACGGACGUGUAUUCGAUGCUGGGGGUCUAUAAAUUCUUUACCAUCCUAACUGUGAUUAGCAUAUUUGGAGGACUAAUAGAUCAGAUGACGAUUGAAUGUGAGACAUGGAGCAGCAUUAACAGUGGAAUAUGACAUGCCUUAAGUCAGGCAAAUACGUUUAUCCAGAACUACACGGCACUUCAACUACUUCAUCAGGUUUUGCUAUUUUACUAAUUCAAAUGAUGCCAAAGCUUCAAGUGAGGUAAGAAAUCACUUUUUUUCCUGUGUGUACUGAGAUAUGAACCUUAACUUUUCAUAAUUUACACCCAUUUUAUUUAUUGCUAAAUAAUAGCCUUAGGGAUCUUAAAAAGCUUCCCUUUUUCUUUUAGCCCCUAAAUAUAAUAUUGGUCUGCAGAAGUUAUCAUUCUUCUCUCUAACUGUUACGUGGAUAGUGAUGUAACUAAGGACCAAACAAAUUUAAUUUAGGUUCGUCUAGGACAAGAAAAAGAAGGCAGAACAAGACAAGCAAAAUAUAACCAUUUGUGCACGACAGUAUUAACUAGUAACAUAUGUGGGCGCCCUCCGUGAAGGUGCCUUUUUAAGUUUGACACAAUUCUAGGAAUAUGCAAUGCAUCAAAUCAAGCUUGGUAUUGAAAAUGAUCAUAACGUCUCUAACGCAUUGUAUGUCUCAUUCUAUACUUCCUCAGAAGACACUGACUUUUCAUAGCUAUAUUACCUUGCCACCAAGAGUUCGACUCAAUAUUUUUAUUUCUGUCUUAGUUGAUCAUGAUUCGACAUUAGAAGUUGAUUCCAUCCAUAAAUCAAUUUUCUUCCCUAUUGAGGCAUAGUCUAAAUAAAAUUGUUAUUAAUUCGUUAUGUAUGGAUGAUGAGAUUCCACCGAUACAAAGCCAAUUCUAAUAAGACUUAUUGGAGGUCCCUUUGGCCUUUCUUUUUAAUGCUGAAAAGAGAGCCUAAAUCAUUUCCAAUCACAAAUAGUUGACUGACUUAACUAUCUUUCCCCAAUUCGACGUAUUCAUAAGCAGCAAGGAUAAAUUUCAGCUGCAUAAACCUCCAUUCGUUCGGUAUUGUUUGUCAUGAUUUUUAUUGUUAGAGUCAAAAUAUAAAAACUUUGACUUACAU